rnacentral:rRNA from 1 species
GUGGGGAAUCUUGCGCAAUGGGCGAAAGCCUGACGCAGCCAUGCCGCGUGAAUGAUGAAGGUCUUCGGAUUGUAAAGCACUUUAAGUUGGGAGGAAGGGCAGUAAGUUAAUACCUUGCUGUUUUGACGUUACCGACAGAAUAAGCACCGGCUAACUUCGUGCCAGCAGCCGCGGUAAUACGAAGGGUGCAAGCGUUAAUCGGAAUUACUGGGCGUAAAGCGCGCGUAGGUGGUUUUGUAAGUUGGAGGUGAAAUCCCCGGGCUCAACCUGGGAACUGCCUCCAAAACUGCAUGACUAGAGUACGGUAGAGGGUAGUGGAAUUUCCUGUGUAGCGGUGAAAUGCGUAGAUAUAGGAAGGAACACCAGUGGCGAAGGCGACUACCUGGACUGAUACUGACACUGAGGUGCGAAAGCGUGGGGAGCAAACAGGAUUAGAAACCCGGGUAGUCC